ACACAAUGUCGUGAUAAGAAAGUGCCCCAAGCAUGGUGAUCAAUUUUACAAGUUUCUAACUAGAAAGCCGAAUGAUAAAUCUGAAGAGCAGGGAGAGAAAUAAACAAGAGUCGGACAAAUAAGCAAAUCAAAAUGAUGCCAACGAGUAGCACGAAAUCAAAUUGAAAUUGAAACUAGACAAAGUGAAUUGGCAGGGAGCCACAGUUGCCAUUGUCCCAGUCUAGGGGCUGCAAAGGGGGUUGGGCUCCGAUGUGUUAUACAAUAUUAUCAUGCUUAUAUAAUUUGCCCCGCACACACAGCGAGAUAGAGAAACAAACACAUGCGAAACUGCGAUAAAGCUCGAGUAACAAAGUUGAAUGGCUGUCUACAUCGCAGGGCGAUUUUCGGGAAAGGGAAUUCCGGCGUAUCAAAAGUUAUUGUGCUUGUGUCUCUGUGAGUUCGACUGGAGCCAAGGAUUAUCAAAGUAUUAAAGGAGCAGCGCUCCCGACUCGGAUUCAGACUCAGUUUUGGGUUCUGCGCCAGCUCCAUCUUGAGCUCUGACUACUCCUAAGUUUUCGCACUUUAUGGGACAUCGUUUUCGUUGCCGUUGUCUUUGUCCUGCUUGCCAAACGCCUCGGGGGCUCAUGUGGCAGGCUCGGCUCGUCAUAAAAUCCCACACCAAUACACUGAGAAAAAACGUAUAUUUCGAAAAAAAAUUGUAUUACAUAAGGCAAUUACUUAGGCGAUAAAGCAUGCGAAUGGUAGGUCCUUAAAUAGGUACAAAAGUACAAUGGGAUCCGAGCUUUAUAAUGUAUACAUCCGAUAUCACACAUUUCCCAGUUCCUAAUGACCUUAUUCUCUCGGUGCAUCCACCACAGUGGGAAAAAUCGCAGAAAACGGAAGCUGAAGCCAACGCACAUGCAUAAGUGAAAGACAAAAGACGCCAAAAGACAAAGGCACUGGUCUAACAAGGAAAAAACAAGAGAUAGGGAAAGCAAUAGGAACCAAAAGGACGGGGGACCAAGUUAAAGGACCAGGACUUCCAACUUGCUGCGACAUGUAAGAAUUAUUAUCUGCUCUUGCACUCUCAAGUGGCCCCCAAAGAAAUGGGCAGAGGGAGACAAUGAAUAAUGUCCUUGGCGCGCAAUGCGGAAAUGCAGGCUGCUAGGACGCAAAAGGAUCCACGAGUAGGUAAAUAAAACGGAGCCAUAAAGGAAAUAUGCUCUCGCGUACAUUUCAAUCGACAU
ensembl:ncRNA lncRNA:CR44901 long non-coding RNA:CR44901